rnacentral:rRNA from 1 species
CAGCAGCCGCGGUAAUACGAAGGGUGCAAGCGUUAAUCGGAAUUACUGGGCGUAAAGCGUGCGUAGGCGGUUUGUUAAGUCUGUUGUGAAAUCCCCGGGCUCAACCUGGGAAUGGCAAUGGAUACUGGCAAGCUAGAGUGUGUCAGAGGAUGGUGGAAUUCCCGGUGUAGCGGUGAAAUGCGUAGAGAUCGGGAGGAACAUCAGUGGCGAAGGCGGCCAUCUGGGACAACACUGACGCUGAGGCACGAAAGCGUGGGGAGCAAACAGGAUUAGAGACCCGAGUAGUCCCUGUCUCUUAUAA